rnacentral:rRNA from 1 species
GACGAACGCUGGCGGCGUGCUUAACACAUGCAAGUCGAACGGAAAGGCCCUGCUUUUGUGGGGUGCUCGAGUGGCGAACGGGUGAGUAACACGUGAGUAACCUGCCCUUGACUUUGGGAUAACUUCAGGAAACUGGGGCUAAUACCGGAUAGGAGCUCCUGCUGCAUGGUGGGGGUUGGAAAGUUUCGGCGGUUGGGGAUGGACUCGCGGCUUAUCAGCUUGUUGGUGGGGUAGUGGCUUACCAAGGCUUUGACGGGUAGCCGGCCUGAGAGGGUGACCGGCCACAUUGGGACUGAGAUACGGCCCAGACUCGUACGGGAGGCAGCGGUGGGGAAUAUUGCACAAUGGGCGGAAGCCUGAUGCAGAAGCGCCGCGUGCGGGAUGACGGCCUUCGGGUUGUAAACCGCUUUCGCCUAUGACGAAGCGUGAGUGACGGUAAUGGGUAAAGAAGCACCGGCUAACUACGUG